AGCUUUGUUACUGUUUGUAAUAAAGUCUAAUUGAAUUUACAAGUUCCGGUAUCUGUGAAAUAUUUUGAUUCAACAUUUCCACAACACAUGCAAUACACUCUCUAGACUACAGCCGAGCCAGACUACUGAACGACUCGUACAACUCUUGCAACAUCACUAGCUAAAGGAAAGUGCUUAUUUCCAGUGUGUGAGAGAGUUUCUAAAUUGUGAUCAGUAUAGCCCCUCAUGUGUUUCCCAGCCAGCUGCUGUUGGGAGACACCGACUCGACGGGAUUCCUGAGAGUGCAUUCUGAUGAAGAUCAUCAAAGAUGUUGAUUGGAUAUCUGCUCAGCACGCAUCAGAUACUCAGCCAUCCUUCUCUUCACCGCCUCCCGCGUUGUAGAGCUGGGCUCGCUUGGAGAGGGAGAGAGUCGCUCCAUGUCAUUUUAGCAAGCCCUGACACCCACCUUCUCAGAUUCUUCUGAAAUUGUUUCUGUAGUUAGAAACAGAUGCACAAUUGAGAGCAUCCUGUCGGGCUGUAUUACUGCCUGGUAAGACAACUGCACAUCCCGCAACCACAAGGCUCUCCAGAG